rnacentral:misc_RNA from 1 species
AACGCACAUUGCGCCCUCUGGUAUUCCGGAGGGCACGCCUGUCCGAGCGCCAUUUCAGACCUCAAGCCCUAGGCUUGUUGUUGGGCACCGCCCGCGAGGGCGCGCCUCGAAUCCGUCGGCGUCGCCGCCAGGCCCCCAGCGCACCGAGCGUAACAGCCCGCGCACGGAGGGUCCCUGGCGAGGUGGCCGCCUAGUAAAACGCGCAAGCAGCACCGAACGGCCUCGGAUCAGGCGGGGUUACCCGCUGAACUUAA